rnacentral:rRNA from 1 species
GUCCUUAGUUUACCAGCACGUUAUGGUGGGCACUCUAAGGAGACUGCCGGUGACAAACCGGAGGAAGGUGGGGAUGACGUCAAGUCAUCAUGGCCCUUACGGCCUGGGCUACACACGUGCUACAAUGGUCGGUACAAAGGGUUGCCAAGCCGCGAGGUGGAGCUAAUCCCAUAAAACCGAUCGUAGUCCGGAUCGCAGUCUGCAACUCGACUGCGUGAAGUCGGAAUCGCUAGUAAUCGUGAAUCAGAAUGUCACGGUGAAUACGUUCCCGGGCCUU